UACAGAGGGUGCUAGCGUUGUUCGGAUUCACUGGGCGUAAAGGGUGCGUAGGCGGUUGGGUAAGUCUGUCGUGAAAUCUCCGAGCCUAACUCGGAAACUGCGUCGGAUACUAUUCAACUCGAGGAACGGAGGGGAGACUGGAAUUCUCGGUGUAGCGGUGAAAUGCGUAGAUAUCGAGAGGAACACCAGUGGCGAAGGCGAGUCUCUGGACAUUUCCUGACGCUGAUGCACGAAAGCUAGGGGAGCAAACGGG
rnacentral:rRNA from 1 species